GUCUACAGUCAUACCACCCUAAACACGCCCAAUCUCGUCUGAUCUCAGAAGCUAAACAGGGUCCGGCCUGGUUAGUACUUGGAUGGGAUACCAAGGCCCUGAGGUAC
rnacentral:rRNA from 1 species